AUUAAACAUACAGUAAAAGACUGAGGUAAACCCUCUUAAUUCUGUGUUCACUGAUUAUCUGAGUUUUAAAGGCGGUUUUUUGAAUUCUUGAAGCAAGGGUGAAAUUGUUGAUAUUGGAAGACAUUCGAAAGCGAAAGCAAAAACCGAUUUGAAUCUGACGCUAGGUACUAAAGUAUGGGGAUAAAUAGGAUUAGAGACCUAGUAGUCCAUACCUUAAACAAUGAGUGUUAAACAUCUUUUGGAUUUUCUAUAUCCUUAUAAUAAGGUAUAGAUGCCUUUGGGGGUUUUAAGCUAACGCGUGAAACACCGCCUGGGGAAUGUGGCCGCAAGGUUAAACUCAAAGGAAUUGACGGAGAUUUAUACAAGG
rnacentral:rRNA from 1 species